rnacentral:rRNA from 1 species
AGGGCACCACCAGGAGUGGAGCCUGCGGCUUAAUUUGACUCAACACGGGGAAACUUACCCGGCCUGGACACUGGAAGGAUUGACAGAUUGAGAGCUCUUUCUUGAUUCAGUGGGUGGUGGUGCAUGGCCGUUCUUAGUUGGUGGAGCGAUUUGUCUGGUUAAUUCCGAUAACGAACGAGACUCUAGCCUAUUAAAUAGGCUCCCGGCUUUUAAACGCCGGGAGGACUUCUUAGAGGGACAGGUGGCGGUUCAGCCGCACGAAAGAGAGCAAUAACAGGUCUGUGAUGCCCUUUGUUGUCCGGGGCCGCACGCGCGCUACACUGAAGAGAUCAGCGUGCUUUAUGUUCCUGCUCCGACCGGAGUGGGGAACCCAGUGAACCCUCUUCGUGAUUGGGAUAGAAGAUUGUAAUUAUUCUUCUUGAACGAGGAAUUCCCAGUAAAUGCGAGUCAUAAGCUCGCGUUGAUUACGUCCCUGCCCUUUGUACACACCGCCCGUCGCUACUACCGAUUGAACGAUUU